rnacentral:rRNA from 1 species
GAACGCACCACUGGUGUACGGGUUGUGAUGCCAAUUGCAUUGCCCGGUAGCUAAGUGCGGAAGAGAUAACCGCUGAAAGCAUCUAAGCGGGAAACUUGCCUCGAGAUGAGUCUUCCCUGAUUCUUUAAGAAUCCUGAAGGAACGUUUGAGACUAAGACGUUGAUAGGCUGGGUGUGUAAGCGCAGCGAUGCGUUGAGCUGACCAGUACUAAUGAACCGAGAGGCUUAACCUGACAACACCGAAGGUGUUU